GGGACUUGUAACCGUCACUUCUGUCUUGAGUAGUUAAAAGAUAGAACAGUCUAGCCAAGUGCCAUGUCUCUUAUUUUUGAUCAGCUAUAGCUCUGGAGUUUUUGCAGAUUUUCAAAUAAAACUCAGAGAUUCCUUGUAUGAUUCUCUCAGAUCUCUCUUUUGUGGUAUUUCUGGAUCCUUACCAAGGCAGUGAUGGUAUAUGCCUUCUCUCAAUAUAUAUAGUAUUUGUGGUAUAAAGCAUAGUGACAUUGCUUUCUCUCUCACCCUACUCUAAUAAGGCUUUAAUAUCUGGAGCUCAUAGGUGGAAGAUAAAAUAUACAUACUUACAAGACAUUUAUUGCAUAGUCAAACCAUGGAUUCAAAGAAACAAAUCAUAAGUCAAAUCAAGAUGUGCAUGUGUGGCGAAUGAAUAGUGUAUGGUGAUGAUGGUGAUAACAAUGGUGGAAGUCUAAUUCUACUUUGCUCUUUUGAGGGGAUACAUACCUUCCUUGCUUUUUGAAACUUUGUGAGGAGAAUGAGAUGCUCUUCUUUUUCUUUCCUCUCAGGUGGGUAUCUUGUACCCCUAAUUCUACUGUCGGACACUUGUCCAUUUUUACCUCUCGUCUCACUUUUUCUUUCCUUUCGAGGUUCCGAGCACUUGCUCCUUUUUAUUUCCUCGUAUCUUUUUUCUUUUUUUAGAGCACUCAUCUCUUGAGAUAAUAUAGCAAGUGGUAGUAACAAGAUAACUUAAGCAUUUAUUUCACAAGGAAAAACAGAAAUAUUUUUGUUAUUCUCUCCCGGAUUAGGAGUAGAAUAUUUUUAGGUGGUUCUGGAGAUGGAAAUGGGUGAAUAUAUAUGGAUGGUACUUCCAGAAUAGAAGUAGCAUAUAUAAGUGAACGUGCAAGUGAAAUCUUGAUUUAACCACAUGACAAGCUCCUAAGGGUCUACACAGCUUGACCACACUCAAUGCUCAUAAGUAGUAAAAAGUAAAUGUGUGGCUCAAAGUCUAGCAAGCAUGUAUAUAUGGCUGUGGGAGGAAUUUAAACUCUCAUCAUACAGGAACUCAUCAUAUAAUAUUUUAAAGAUUUUCAAAGAUAAAAUUCUCCAGAAUUCUAGCAUCUCUAGGAACAGAUAAACAGCAGCUCAACCUUCCCAUAUCGUAUCCGUUAACAACUUAGACUUCAGAUCAAGUUUUCAUCCCACAAGUUUAGGUCUAGAGCAAGUUUUAAAUUAUAACAGUUAUAUCUAAACUUGAGAGAGAACUUAAAAUUUGCAAAUUAGGAAGAGCAAAUAUCCAUGCUAGAGUUUUAUUUAGAUACAGAUUAGCAUAGCCACUUUAUUUAUUUAUUAAACACGCUAAGCAAAAGACAUAUAUAUAAGCAUAAAAUCUUUAUUUGGUUUUUUAUAGUUGUGUAUAUCUAUAGUAUAAGUAUAAAGAUAGAUAUAUAGAAAUACUUAUCGGGAUAAAUGGAGGUGCUCUCCCCCAAGCUGAAUUUUGACGUAAUUUCUCUUGAUGUAGCUAGCAGGUGGCAGAGGUGUAUUUGAAACUCAGCAGCAUUCUGACAGCGAUUAGAAAUGUCCUCCGUCUGCUAGUCUUCUUGAUUCUUAAAUUCUGUGGAGCUCAAAUAGACAACAAAGCUUGUGGAACUGAUUAAGUGUUAGCAUAAAUAUCUAGCCUUUAUCAUGUUGAGACUCCUUAAUAAUUAUUGCUCCCAAUUUUUAUAUUUUCAUUUUAUAAAGUAGAAAAAAUAUUUAUUUUAUUUUUAUACCACCACAGUGAAUGUACUUAUGGGUUUUAUGCCACUCGUAUACUCACAUGGGGCUUACUGUUUUUUAACAUUUUUAUUUUCUCUUUAGGAUAGUGUGAACAUGAUUAACUAAGCAAACUAGUUAAAAUAAUCGAAAGGGAAAGGAUAACUACCAAGUUUACCUCUUGGCAAGGCGUUCGGUGUUUCUAAGUCCUCCGAACGGGACUCUCCGUUUUCUCAAUUGUCCUGGGAUUCAUUAGGUGGCAUAGUCGGUACUUCCGGCGGCGCCUCCUCUUCAUGUAUAGUUAUCUUCUCUUUCCAUACCUGACUCGGUGCUACGGUCUCCUCUGGAUAAUUCUGUUUAAACUCUACGUCUUCUGACCUUACAACUUCUCCUUCAUAGUCUGCCCAUCCGUCCUUGAUGAUUUGCCUCCUCUGGUUGCGGUUGCGUCGUUUUCUUACCUGCUUAGAUUCUUCAAAGAUGUAGUUAGGGUCAGUAAAAUAACGGCGUACCUUCUCUAAGGCGAAGUGCAUAUGGACUUCUCCGGUUCCAAUGUAGAUAAUUGCUUUAACGGUGCUGAGGAACGGUCUUCCAAGGAUGAUGGGUGGAUCGUACUCAUCUUCUCCGAUGUCAAUAACCUGAA
rnacentral:lncRNA from 1 species